rnacentral:rRNA from 1 species
GGGUUGUGAGGUUAAGCGACUAAGCGUACACGGUGGAUGCCCUGGCAGUCAGAGGCGAUGAAGGACGUGCUAAUCUGCGAUAAGCGUCGGUGAGGUGAUAUGAACCGUUAUAACCGGCGAUUUCCGAAUGGGGAAACCCAGUGUGUUUCGACACACUAUCAUUAACUGAAUCCAUAGGUUAAUGAGGCGAACCGGGGGAACUGAAACAUCUAAGUACCCCGAGGAAAAGAAAUCAACCGAGAUUCCCCCAGUAGCGGCGAGCGAACGGGGAGGAGCCCAGAGCCUGAAUCAGUGUGUGUGUUAGUGGAAGCGUCUGGAAAGGCGCGCGAUACAGGGUGACAGCCCCGUACACAAAAAUGCACAUAUUGUGAGCUCGAUGAGUAGGGCGGGACACGUGGUAUCCUGUCUGAAUAUGGGGGGACCAUCCUCCAAGGCUAAAUACUCCUGACUGACCGAUAGUGAACCAGUACCGUGAGGGAAAGGCGAAAAGAACCCCGGCGAGGGGAGUGAAAAAGAACCUGAAACCGUGUACGUACAAGCAGUGGGAGCCUCUUAAUGGGGUGACUGCGUACCUUUUGUAUAAUGGGUCAGCGACUUAUAUUCUGUAGCAAGGUUAACCGAAUAGGGGAGCCGAAGGGAAACCGAGUCUUAACUGGGCGUUAAGUUGCAGGGUAUAGACCCGAAACCCGGUGAUCUAGCCAUGGGCAGGUUGAAGGUUGGGUAACACUAACUGGAGGACCGAACCGACUAAUGUUGAAAAAUUAGCGGAUGACUUGUGGCUGGGGGUGAAAGGCCAAUCAAACCGGGAGAUAGCUGGUUCUCCCCGAAAGCUAUUUAGGUAGCGCCUCGUGAAUUCAUCUCCGGGGGUAGAGCACUGUUUCGGCAAGGGGGUCAUCCCGACUUACCAACCCGAUGCAAACUGCGAAUACCGGAGAAUGUUAUCACGGGAGACACACGGCGGGUGCUAACGUCCGUCGUGAAGAGGGAAACAACCCAGACCGCCAGCUAAGGUCCCAAAGUCAUGGUUAAGUGGGAAACGAUGUGGGAAGGCCCAGACAGCCAGGAUGUUGGCUUAGAAGCAGCCAUCAUUUAAAGAAAGCGUAAUAGCUCACUGGUCGAGUCGGCCUGCGCGGAAGAUGUAACGGGGCUAAACCAUGCACCGAAGCUGCGGCAGCGACACUAUGUGUUGUUGGGUAGGGGAGCGUUCUGUAAGCCUGUGAAGGUGUGCUGUGAGGCAUGCUGGAGGUAUCAGAAGUGCGAAUGCUGACAUAAGUAACGAUAAAGCGGGUGAAAAGCCCGCUCGCCGGAAGACCAAGGGUUCCUGUCCAACGUUAAUCGGGGCAGGGUGAGUCGACCCCUAAGGCGAGGCCGAAAGGCGUAGUCGAUGGGAAACAGGUUAAUAUUCCUGUACUUGGUGUUACUGCGAAGGGGGGACGGAGAAGGCUAUGUUGGCCGGGCGACGGUUGUCCCGGUUUAAGCGUGUAGGCUGGUUUUCCAGGCAAAUCCGGAAAACCAAGGCUGAGGCGUGAUGACGAGGCACUACGGUGCUGAAGCGACAAAUGCCCUGCUUCCAGGAAAAGCCUCUAAGCAUCAGGUAACAUCAAAUCGUACCCCAAACCGACACAGGUGGUCAGGUAGAGAAUACCAAGGCGCUUGAGAGAACUCGGGUGAAGGAACUAGGCAAAAUGGUGCCGUAACUUCGGGAGAAGGCACGCUGAUAUGUAGGUGAAGCGACUUGCUCGUGGAGCUGAAAUCAGUCGAAGAUACCAGCUGGCUGCAACUGUUUAUUAAAAACACAGCACUGUGCAAACACGAAAGUGGACGUAUACGGUGUGACGCCUGCCCGGUGCCGGAAGGUUAAUUGAUGGGGUUAGCGGUAACGCGAAGCUCUUGAUCGAAGCCCCGGUAAACGGCGGCCGUAACUAUAACGGUCCUAAGGUAGCGAAAUUCCUUGUCGGGUAAGUUCCGACCUGCACGAAUGGCGUAAUGAUGGCCAGGCUGUCUCCACCCGAGACUCAGUGAAAUUGAACUCGCUGUGAAGAUGCAGUGUACCCGCGGCAAGACGGAAAGACCCCGUGAACCUUUACUAUAGCUUGACACUGAACAUUGAGCCUUGAUGUGUAGGAUAGGUGGGAGGCUUUGAAGUGUGGACGCCAGUCUGCAUGGAGCCGACCUUGAAAUACCACCCUUUAAUGUUUGAUGUUCUAACGUGGGCCCCUAAUCGGGGUUGCGGACAGUGUCUGGUGGGUAGUUUGACUGGGGCGGUCUCCUCCUAAAGAGUAACGGAGGAGCACGAAGGUUGGCUAAUCCUGGUCGGACAUCAGGAGGUUAGUGCAAUGGCAUAAGCCAGCUUGACUGCGAGCGUGACGGCGCGAGCAGGUGCGAAAGCAGGUCAUAGUGAUCCGGUGGUUCUGAAUGGAAGGGCCAUCGCUCAACGGAUAAAAGGUACUCCGGGGAUAACAGGCUGAUACCGCCCAAGAGUUCAUAUCGACGGCGGUGUUUGGCACCUCGAUGUCGGCUCAUCACAUCCUGGGGCUGAAGUAGGUCCCAAGGGUAUGGCUGUUCGCCAUUUAAAGUGGUACGCGAGCUGGGUUUAGAACGUCGUGAGACAGUUCGGUCCCUAUCUGCCGUGGGCGCUGGAGAACUGAGGGGGGCUGCUCCUAGUACGAGAGGACCGGAGUGGACGCAUCACUGGUGUUCGGGUUGUCAUGCCAAUGGCACUGCCCGGUAGCUAAAUGCGGAAGAGAUAAGUGCUGAAAGCAUCUAAGCACGAAACUUGCCCCGAGAUGAGUUCUCCCUGAGACUUAGAGUCUCCUGAAGGAACGUUGAAGACGACGACGUUGAUAGGCCGGGUGUGUAAGCGCAGCGAUGCGUUGAGCUAACCGGUACUAAUGAACCGUGAGGCUUAACCUUACAACGCCGAAG